UCAUUACAGUUCUCUGCGUGAUCUAGGCUAUAUCAUUAUCAGCCCGGACCAUGGGUCAGUGAAAUAGUUCGGAUUGGGCUCGUCACUCAUAAUUUUUUUUCUAUCGUCUGUCUCAUGCGAAAUAUACAACCAACUUUUGUUGGAUGCUUUUCUAUUCUACAUAUACACGAUUGUAACUUUCUGGUUGAGUCUAUAUUGGGAGCAAAGGGA